CAGAGAGAAGCAAAACAGUGAUGUGGAGCAAAACUCAAAAAGCGGUCUCAGUUCGGACUGAAGGCUGAAAUUCGCCUUCACGAAGUCGGAAUUGCUAGUAAUCGCGGAUCAGCAUGCCGCGGUGAAUACGUUCCCGGGCCUUGUACACACCGCCCGUCACACCAUGGGAGCCGGUAAUACCCGAAGUCAGUAGUCCAACCUCGUGAGGACGCUGCCGAAGGUAGGAUUGGCGACUGGGGUGAAGUCGUAACAAGGUACC
rnacentral:rRNA from 1 species